AGCGAACGCUGGCGGCAGGCCUAACACAUGCAAGUCGAACGGGCUCUUCGGAGCUAGUGGCGGACGGGUGAGUAACACGUGGGAACGUGCCUUUAGGUUCGGAAUAAGCCCGGGAAACUGGGUCUAAUACCGGAUGUGCCCUUCGGGGGAAAGAUUUACCGCCUUUAGAGCGGCCCGCGUCUGAUUAGCUAGUUGGUGGUGUAAUGGACCACCAAGGCGACGAUCAGUAGCUGGUCUGAGAGGAUGAUCAGCCACAUUGGGACUGAGACACGGCCCAAACUCCUACGGGAGGCAGCAGUGGGGAAUCUUGCGCAAUGGGCGAAAGCCUGACGCAGCCAUGCCGCGUGAAUGAUGAAGGUCUUAGGAUUGUAAAAUUCUUUCACCGGGGACGAUAAUGACGGUACCCGGAGAAGAAGCCCCGGCUAACUUCGUGCCAGCAGCCGCCGUAAGAC
rnacentral:rRNA from 1 species